GAUGAACGCUGACAGAAUGCUUAACACAUGCAAGUCUUUGGCGAAGCUGUGCUUGCACAGCCUAGCCAAGGCGGACGGGUGAGUAACGCGUAAGGGACUUGCCCUGCAGUCAGGGAUAACAGACGGAAACGACUGAUAAGACCUGGUAAAGUCAGGCGGACUCAUGUCCAGCCUGAUGAAAAGGAAUGCUGCAGGAGAGCCUUGCGUCCUAUUAGCUUGUUGGUGGGGUAACGGCCCACCAAGGCGAUGAUAGGUAGCCGGCCUGAGAGGGUGGACGGCCACAAGGGGACUGAGAUACGGCCCUUACUCCUACGGGAGGCAGCAGUGGGGAAUAUUGGACAAUGGGGGCAACCCUGAUCCAGCAAUUCUGUGUGCACGAUGAAGGUCUUCGGAUUGUAAAGUGCUUUCAGCAGGGAAGAAAAAAAUGACGGUACCUGCAGAAGAAGCGACGGCUAAAUACGUGCCAGCAGCCGCGGUAAUACGUAUGUCGCGAGCGUUAUCCGGAAUUAUUGGGCAUAAAGGGCAUCUAGGCGGCCGGAUAAGUCUGGGGUGAAAACUUGCGGCUCAACCGCAAGCCUGCCCUGGAAACUAUGCGGCUAGAGUACUGGAGAGGUGGACGGAACUGCACGAGUAGAGGUGAAAUUCGUAGAUAUGUGCAGGAAUGCCGAUGAUGAAGAUAGUUCACUGGACGGUAACUGACGCUGAAGUGCGAAAGCUAGGGGAGCAAACAGG
rnacentral:rRNA from 1 species